rnacentral:rRNA from 1 species
GGGCCCGCACAAGCGGUGGAGCAUGUGGUUUAAUUCGAUGCAACGGCGAAGAACCUUACCUACCCUUGACAUCCAGAGAAGUUGGCAGAGAUGCCUUCGUGCCUUCGGGAGCUCUGAGACAGGUGCUGCAUGGCUGUCGUCAGCUCGUGUUGUGAAAAUGUUGGGUUAAGUCCCGUAACGAGCGCAACCCUUGUCCUUAUUUGCCAGCACGUAAUGGUGGGAACUCUAAGGAGACUGCCGGUGACAAACCGGAGGAAGGUGGGGACGACGUCAAGUCAUCAUGGCCCUUACGGGUAGGGCUACACACGUGCGUACAAUGGCCGGUACAAAGGGCUGCGAGAUCGCGAGUG